UAAUGUUUAAGUGUGAGAAACUUUUGGUUUCCAUUUUUUUGACACUUGUGACAAUGACAUUAUAUUGUAUUAUUUGUGGAUAUUCCGAAGAGGACGUGAAAAAAAUAUUCUGUUUUCCACGAAACUCAGAGAAAUCCAAAAUCUGGCAAAAAUCCCUUGGUAUGAUAUAUCA